rnacentral:rRNA from 1 species
UACGUAGGGUGCAAGCGUUACUCGGAAUUACUGGGCGUAAAGCGUGCGCAGGCGGUGAUGUAAGACAGAUGUGAAAUCCCCGGGCUCAACCUGGGAACUGCAUUUGUGACUGCAUUGCUGGAGUGCGGCAGAGGGGGAUGGAAUUCCGCGUGUAGCAGUGAAAUGCGUAGAUAUGCGGAGGAACACCGAUGGCGAAGGCAAUCCCCUGGGCCUGCACUGACGCUCAUGCACGAAAGCGUGGGGAGCAAACAGG